AUUGAACGCUGGCGGCAGGCCUAACACAUGCAAGUCGAACGGUAGCACAGAGAGCUUGCUCUCGGGUGACGAGUGGCGGACAGGUGAGUAAUGUCUGGGAAACUGCCCGAUGGAGGGGGAUAACUACUGGAAACGGUAGCUAAUACCGCAUAACGUCGCAAGACCAAAGUGGGGGACCUUCGGGCCUCACACCAUCGGAUGUGCCCAGAUGGGAUUAGCUAGUAGGUGGGGUAAUGGCUCACCUAGGCGACGAUCCCUAGCUGGUCUGAGAGGAUGAACAGCCACACUGGAACUGAGACACGGUCCAGACUCCUACGGGAGGCAGCAGUGGGGAAUAUUGCACGAUGGGCGCAAGCCUGAUGCAGCCAUGCCGCGUGUAUGAAGAAGGCCUUCGGGUUGUAAAGUACUUUCAGCGGGGAGGAAGGCGGUGAAGUUAAUAACUUCACCGAUUGACGUUACCCGCAGAAGAAGCACCGGCUAACUCCGUGCCAGCAGCCGCCGUAA
rnacentral:rRNA from 1 species